rnacentral:rRNA from 1 species
GAAUAUUGGACAAUGGGGGGAACCCUGAUUCAGCUAUGCCGCGUGUGUGAAGAAGGCCUUUUGGUUGUAAAGCACUUUAAGCGAGGAGGAGGCUACCUGGAUUAAUACUUUAGGAUAGUGGACGUUACUCGCAGAAUAAGCACGGUCUCACGCAGUGCCAGCAGCCGCGGUAAUACAGAGGGUGCGAGCGUUAAUCGGGUUUACUGGGCGUAAAGCGUGCGUAGGCGGCCAAUUAAGUCAAAUGUGAAAUCCCCGAGCUUAACUUGGGAAUUGCAUUCGAUACUGGUUGGCUAGAGUAUGGGAGAGGAUGGUAGAAUUCCAGGUGUAGCGGUGAAAUGCGUAGAGAUCUGGAGGAAUACCGAUGGCGAAGGCAGCCAUCUGGCCUAAUACUGACGCUGAGGUACGAAAGCAUGGGGAGCAAACA